AUCUUUUUGUAGUUCACAAGUGUGAUGGCUGGGUUUUCAGGCUCAUGUGUGAGAUAUGCCUUCCUCGAACCUUAUUAUGCUAUCAGCACAUUAUCUAGCUGACA